AGGACAGACAAUUUUUUCUGCAAGAUACAAGUAACUUUGAGAUAUAUCAAAGAAUUAACAGUACUAUGCAGCAUUAGAGUUGCAAGACAGGAAAAGUACAGCAGCAAAGAAGACAACAAAAUAUCGGCAUUUGAACUUUAGUUAAUUUACUGUAAUUUGUGGUGCCUAAUAUUAUGCAAGACAGAAAAGAAUACUGAAGUUUAGUUUGAACACGUUGCUGAAUACUGCGACGGCCCAAUUCUGGUGAAUGCGGCGAUUGUAUUAUUUAUGAAAUGUUAGUGCAGCAUCAAGACAACUUGCUUCAUUCUCGGAAACUGAAUUUACAAUUUUAUUACAAUCAAAAAGAAACCAGAAAACUAUUAUAAUUUAUUAAUAUAGGCCUGGCAGAGCUGUUAAUUUAUUGUAUAAUGAAUUUGUGAAAGAAAACAUACAGCGAUUUUAUUAUUUAUGUAAUGUUAUUGCAGCAUCAAGACAACUUACUUCAUUCUCGAAAACUAAUUACAUUGUACUAAAAAAUGAAUUUACAGUCUUAUCACAAUCAGAGGAACCUGAAAACUACUAUAAUUUAUUAAUACAGGCCUAGCAGAGCAUUUAAUUUUCUGUAUAAUGAAUUGUUAAUGCCUAAUAAUUUACAGUAUGUAAUGAAUUUGGUUAUGAAGAUAAUAAAAAAUACAAGUAGUGCUGUUUUGA
rnacentral:lncRNA from 1 species